CCUGGCAACAAUGUCUACAUCUUUACUCCUCUCUGUACCCAUGCACCAUGACCAUCAGUCACACUCCUUUUGGGGGGUUUUGGUGAGUUUCAAACACAUAUCUCUACUGCGGCCCCCAGCCUGGAACCAAGACCAGGAGCCGUUUUACCAUGUUUUGAGAAACCCACACUUCUGCCCACAGAAGACUAGCAUCAAAGACAAAGAGCUCGUGGCAGCAGCCAGGGACUUGGAGUCUAGGUCCAGUUCCAUAUUGAGCCAGCUGUUGUGGGUCUCAGGAAGGUGUCUAGACUCCUCUGAGUCUGUAUUUCUUCAUCAGCCAGAUGCAGAUUUCCCGAAAAUUUAUACAAAGAUUUUCUUUCUUCUGAAAAAUGGAGGAUUAUAAAGCGUUCUGGGUCUCCACACCAAGUGGUCUGUGGGUCCAUGUAUAGGAUGAGUUCUCUGGAGUGUGUGAAGUCCAAGAGGGAGACUGGCCAGCGGUGCUGGCAUCAAAUAUAUCCUGAGCCUCUCCAGUGUUCUCCAAAGCCAGGCUGAGACUUUGGCACCAGGAAGCCCAGAGAGAAGUGAAGACAAGCCUCUUCCAGAACGAAGCAGGUGACAAGUCCUAAUGGAUUCUGAAGAGGGCUUGUGUUCCUGCCCUUAGCCAUUGUCCAGCCAUUUGUAGCCCGGAAUCCUUCCCAGAAGCUCUUUCUCUCAGAAAAGGAAAUUGGCAGCCCUGGGAAGUGAGCAGCUCUCCGCUUGGACUUGAUUGGGGACCAAUUUGGGCCUGUUAGCCGAGCCUCCGGUAUCAUCUCAGCCAAUUACUGGCCCAGCCUGGCCUGCAGCUGGCUGCUCCCUUCCAAGCCGGACACUUUUAUUCCAGCAGAACAAUCCCCUGCUCCAGAGCAAAGAGACCAGGGUGACUGUGGCCCAUUAAAAAGUAUGUCCAGAGACAUAAUUCACUCAGUAAGAUAAUGGAGUAGGCAGGGCUUCACCUGCAGCUUUAAUUGAAAAAAAAAAAAAAAAAAAAACCACCUCAAUAAACAGACUUGUGGCUUUUGGGUAAUAAGUAUGGGAAUUUACAAACUCUCCUGGCUAUUGGGCUCUGAUGACUAUUAAAGUUCAUGUCUGGCAGUGGAAUUUUGGCCUGAUGGACUAAGUUACUCGGCCUCUGCCAAACCAAACAGGCUGGCAACCAGAAGGGAAGCCUGAGGGAUAGAGCUCACGCCGCCCAUUUCUCCAGGACUCCAAGGGCUCCUUUGGACUGGGCUACCCACAGAUCAAGACCGGCUGCUAAGAAUGUUAGUGCUCACCCAAAGAUUCGCCAUUCCGCUCCUUCCUUGGCUCUGUAAAAUACUGUUCUGGCAAGUUCAAAUUACAAAGACCAUGCACACCUGUGACUCCAACACUGUGGGGCAGAGAGGCAAACCCUGGGAGUUUCCUGGCCAGCUAGCCACACUGACAUGGCAUAAGAUCAGCCACACAGAAGCAGGCAGCCACGUAGUGGGAGGAACGGUUCAGAGACAGAGGAAGGAAGUCCAGAGUAUCAGAAGGAGCAUGCUCAUGCUCUGGCCAGAUUCCAAAAGAAAGAGACAGGAAGAAGGAAAAGUAGCAUCUGACUCAAAAAGAACUUCCAGAAAGAACCCCCAUGACAACCACUAAGAAGAAUGUGAACAAGGAUGAGCAGAAGGGGAAAAUAAGGAUGAGAAGAAAGAAAACCAAACGCUGGCUUUCUCAGGAUGAUUCCUGAACCUAAUGAUGCCAACAUGAGAAGAGUCCGUGGUCCUUACUAGUUAAGGAACACCUCUCUUAAAGGGGACAGUCUCAUUCCACUCCUUGGCCAGCACCUGGAAGAUGGCCACUGUGUGUUCCAUCGUGUGUUGAAAGAUGAUCCAGCAGCCGGAAAGAAUUUCCAGGUUACACCAGUGUGUUUCUGUUUGGGGAAUAUCUCUGUUCUGACAUCACUGGGCGGGCAACUUAAGGUUUGGCCAAGAUUUAAAUAAAGACUGGGGCUCACACCAUCUUAAGCAGUUGAAAACUCAGGCUGGUGAUAGCUAUUUACACAUGAAAAUU